rnacentral:rRNA from 1 species
CAUGCAAGUCGAACGGCAGCACGGGAGCAAUCCUGGUGGCGAGUGGCGAACGGGUGAGUAAUACAUCGGAACGUGCCCAAUCGUGGGGGAUAACGCAGCGAAAGCUGUGCUAAUACCGCAUAAGAUCUAAGGAUGAAAGCAGGGGACCGCAAGGCCUUGCGCGAAUGGAGCGGCCGAUGGCAGAUUAGGUAGUUGGUGAGGUAAAGGCUCACCAAGCCUUCGAUCUGUAGCUGGUCUGAGAGGACGACCAGCCACACUGGGACUGAGACACGGCCCAGACUCCUACGGGAGGCAGCAGUGGGGAAUAUUGGACAAUGGGCGCAAGCCUGAUCCAGCCAUGCCGCGUGAGUGAUGAAGGCCCUAGGGUUGUAAAGCUCUUUUGUGCGGGAAGAUAAUGACUGUACCGCAAGAAUAAGCCCCGGCUAACUUCGUGCCAGCAGCCGCGGUAAUACGAAGGGGGCUAGCGUUGCUCGGAAUCACUGGGCGUAAAGCGCACGUAGGCGGACUCUUAAGUCGGUGGUGAAAUCCUGGAGCUCAACUCCAGAACUGCCUUCGAUACUGGGAGUCUCGAGUUCGGGAGAGGUGAGUGGAACUGCGAGUGUAGAGGUGAAAUUCGUAGAUAUUCGCAAGAACACCAGUGGCGAAAGCGGCUCACUGGCCCGAUACUGACGCUGA